rnacentral:rRNA from 1 species
AGAGUUUGAUCAUGGCUCAGAUUGAACGCUGGCGGCAGGCUUAACACAUGCAAGUCGAACGGUAACAGGGAGAAGCUUGCUUCUUUGCUGACGAGUGGCGGACGGGUGAGUAAUGCUUGGGAAUCUGGCUUAUGGAGGGGGAUAACUACGGGAAACUGUAGCUAAUACCGCGUAAUAUCUUUGGAUUAAAGGGUGGGACUUUCGGGCCACCUGCCAUAAGAUGAGCCCAAGUGGGAUUAGGUAGUUGGUGGGGUAAAGGCCUACCAAGCCGACGAUCUCUAGCUGGUCUGAGAGGAUGACCAGCCACACUGGAACUGAGACACGGUCCAGACUCCUACGGGAGGCAGCAGUGGGGAAUAUUGCACAAUGGGGGGAACCCUGAUGCAGCCAUGCCGCGUGAAUGAAGAAGGCCUUCGGGUUGUAAAGUUCUUUCGGUGAUGAGGAAGGUGUUUGUUUUAAUAGAACAAGCAAUUGACGUUAGUCACAGAAGAAGCACCGGCUAACUCCGUGCCAGCAGCCGCGGUAAUACGGAGGGUGCGAGCGUUAAUCGGAAUGACUGGGCGUAAAGGGCACGCAGGCGGUGACUUAAGUGAGAUGUGAAAGCCCCGGGCUUAACCUGGGAAUUGCAUUUCAUACUGGGUCGCUAGAGUAUUUUAGGGAGGGGUAGAAUUCCACGUGUAGCGGUGAAAUGCGUAGAGAUGUGGAGGAAUACCGAAGGCGAAGGCAGCCCCUUGGGAAUAUACUGACGCUCAUGUGCGAAAGCGUGGGGAGCAAACAGGAUUAGAUACCCUGGUAGUCCACGCUGUAAACGCUGUCGAUUUGGGGAUUGGGCUUAGAGCUUGGUGCCCGUAGCU